rnacentral:rRNA from 1 species
UGGGGAAUUUUGCGCAAUGGGGGAAACCCUGACGCAGCAACGCCGCGUGAGCGAUGAAGGCCUUCGGGUCGUAAAGCUCUGUCAGAGGGGAAGAGGUGCAGGGGCGCCAAUAUCGCUUUUGCUUGACGGUACCCUCAAAGGAAGCACCGGCUAACUCCGUGCCAGCAGCCGCGGUAAUACGGAGGGUGCGAGCGUUGUUCGGAAUUAUUGGGCGUAAAGCGCGUGUAGGCGGUUUGGUAAGUCUGAUGUGAAAGCCCCGGGCUCAACCUGGGAAGUGCAUUGGAAACUGUCAGACUUGAAUACGGGAGAGGGUAGUGGAAUUCCUAGUGUAGGAGUGAAAUCCGUAGAUAUUAGGAGGAACACCGGUGGCGAAGGCGGCUACCUGGACCGAUAUUGACGCUGAGACGCGAAAGCGUGGGGAGCAAACAG